rnacentral:rRNA from 1 species
CCUACGGGAGGCAGCAGUGAGGAAUAUUGGUCAAUGGGCGCGAGCCUGAACCAGCCAAGUAGCGUGAAGGAUGACUGCCCUACGGGUUGUAAACUUCUUUUAUAAAGGAAUAAAGUGAGGCACGUGUGCCUUAUUGUAUGUACUUUAUGAAUAAGGAUGGGCUAACUCCGUGCCAGCAGCCGCGGUACUACGGAGGAUCCGAGCGUUAUCCGGAUUUAGUGGGUGUAAAGGGAGCGUAGAUGGGUUGUUAAGUCAGUUGUGACAGUUUGCGGCUCAACCGUAAAAUUGCAAUUGAUACGGGCAGUCUUGAGUACAGUUGAGGUUGGCGGACUUCGUGGUGUAGCGG